UACGUAGGGGGCGAGCGUUGUCCGAAGUUACUGGGCGUAAAGCGCGCGUAGGCGGCUCUUUAAGUCUGGUGUGAAAGGUUCAGGGCUCAACCCGAACAGUGCACUGGAUACUGGAGAGCUUGAGUUAGGGAGAGGAGAGUGGAAUUCCUGGUGUAGCGGUGAAAUGCGUAGAGAUCCGGAAGAACACCGGUGGCGAAGGCGGUCUGCUGGGCAGUUGCUGGACGCUGAUGCGCGACAGCGUGGGGAGCAAACAGG
rnacentral:rRNA from 1 species